ACCAACCCCCUUCCAGCGCUCGGAAAUAAUAAUACUCUGCAGUGCACUCUAAAAGUAUUAUAUUUUGCUCAUUGAAGGAGGCUGCGCCCCUGCUGGGCUGUUUGCAUAUAGAGCCUCUGCGUCGUGGAUGCUUUGAUUAAAGGCACUGUUUUUUAAGGUGAUGUGCGAAGCAACGAGCUAAGCAACGGAGUUAAAUUUAGGCAUUCGACGUGUGUGUCAGAGAGAAAAUUCUAUCUUUGAAAGGACAAGAACAGCUCGUGCAAAAGAAGAGCCCGUUUCAGAUGUCACCACACUUGCAGAAACCGCUAUUUGCAAGAACUA